UACGUAGGGUGCAAGCGUUGUCCGGAAUUAUUGGGCGUAAAGAGCUCGUAGGCGGUCUGUCGCGUCUGCUGUGAAAACUCAGGGCUUAACCCUGGGCCUGCAGUGGGUACGGGCAGACUAGAGUGCGGUAGGGGAGGCUGGAAUUCCUGGUGUAGCGGUGAAAUGCGCAGAUAUCAGGAGGAACACCGGUGGCGAAGGCGGGUCGCUGGGCCGUAACUGACGCUGAGGAGCGAAAGCAUGGGGAGCGAACAGG
rnacentral:rRNA from 1 species